AGUGAACGCUGGCGGCGUGCCUAAUACAUGCAAGUCGAACGGAAUUUAAAAGAGCUUGCUCUUUUAAAUUUAGUGGCGCACGAGUGAGUAAUAUAUAGCUAAUCUGCCCCUUGCUGGAGGACAACAGUUAGAAAUGACUGCUAAUACUCCAUACUCCUUUUUACCAUAAGAUAAAUCGGGAAAGAAUUUCGGCAAGGGAUGAGACUAUAUCGUAUCAGCUAGUCGGUGGGGUAACGGCCUACCGAGGCUAUGACGCGUAACUGGUCUGAGAGGAUGAUCAGUCACAUUGGAACUGAGACACGGUCCAAACUCCUACGGGAGGCAGCAGUAGGGAAUAUUGCGCAAUGGGGGAAACCCUGACGCAGCAACGCCGCGUGGAGGAUGACACUUUUCGGAGCGUAAACUCCUUUUGUUAGGGAAGAAUAAAGACGGACCUAACGAUAG
rnacentral:rRNA from 1 species